UGGCGAACGGGUGAGUAACGCGUGGGUAACCUGCCUCAUACAGGGGGAUAACAGUUAGAAAUGACUGCUAAUACCGCAUAAGACCACGGAGCCGCAUGGCUCAGUGGGAAAAACUCCGGUGGUAUGAGAUGGACCCGCGUCUGAUUAGGUAGUUGGUGGGGCAACGGCCUACCAAGCCAACGAUCAGUAGCCGACCUGAGAGGGUGACCGGCCACAUUGGGACUGAGACACGGCCCAA
rnacentral:rRNA from 1 species